AGUGAACGCUGGCGGUAGGCCUAACACAUGCAAGUCGAACGGCAGCACAGUAAGAGCUUGCUCUUACGGGUGGCGAGUGGCGGACGGGUGAGGAAUACAUCGGAAUCUACUUUUUCGUGGGGGAUAACGUAGGGAAGCUUACGCUAAUACCGCAUACGACCUACGGGUGAAAGCAGGGGAUCUUCGGACCUUGCGCGAUUGAAUGAGCCGAUGUCGGAUUAGCUAGUUGGCGGGGUAAAGGCCCACCAAGGCGACGAUCCGUAGCUGGUCUGAGAGGAUGAUCAGCCACACUGGAACUGAGACACGGUCCAGACUCCUACGGGAGGCAGCAGUGGGGAAUAUUGGACAAUGGGCGCAAGCCUGAUCCAGCCACACCGCGUGGGUGAAGAAGGCCUUCGGGUUGUAAAGCCCUUUUGUUGGGAAAGAAAAGCAGCAGGUUAAUACCCCGCUGUUCUGACGGUACCCAAAGAAUAAGCACCGGCUAACUCCGU
rnacentral:rRNA from 1 species